UGAGCAAUCUGCCCUUCUCAUCGGAAUAAGCGUUGGAAACGACGUCUAAUGCCGAAUACGACCUCCUUUCGCAUGAUCGGAGGUGGAAAGCUCCGGCGGAGAAGGAUGAGCUCGCGGCCUAUCAGCUAGUUGGUGUGGGUAACGGCCCACCAAGGCGACGACGGGUAGCCGGCCUGAGAGGGUGACCGGCCACACUGGGACUGAGACACGGCCCAGACUCCUACGGGAGCAG
rnacentral:rRNA from 1 species